rnacentral:rRNA from 1 species
UACGUAGGGUGCAAGCGUUAAUCGGAAUUACUGGGCGUAAAGCGUGCGUAGGCGGUUCGCUGUGUCCGAUGUGAAAGCCCCGGGCUUAACCUGGGAAUGGCAUUGGAAACUGGCGGGCUUGAGUGCGGCAGAGGGGGGUGGAAUUCCGCGUGUAGCAGUGAAAUGCGUAGAGAUGCGGAGGAACACCGAUGGCGAAGGCAGCCCCCUGGGUCGACACUGACGCUCAGGCACGAAAGCGUGGGGAGCAAACAGG